rnacentral:rRNA from 1 species
UACAGAGGGUGCGAGCGUUGUCCGGAAUCACUGGGCGUAAAGGGCGCGUAGGUGGCGCCGCAAGUCCAUGGUGAAAGCUCGAUGCUCAACAUCGAGUCGGCCACGGAGACUGCGGGGCUCGAGCACUGUAGGGGCAGAUGGAAUUCCGGGUGUAGCGGUGGAAUGCGUAGAGAUCCGGAAGAACACCGGUGGCGAAGGCGGCUCACUGGCUCAUUACUGACGCUCAGGCGCGAUAGCGUGGGGAUCAAACAGG